AUGAACGCUAGCGGCAGGCUUAAUACAUGCAAGUCGAGGGGCAGCACGAAUAGCAAUAUUUGGUGGCGACCGGCGCACGGGUGCGUAACACGUAUACAACCUACCUAUAACAGGGGGAUAGCCUUUCGAAAGAGAGAUUAAUACCCCAUAAUAAAUUGAGUGGCAUCACUUGAUUUUGAAAGCUCCGGCGGUUAUAGAUGGGUAUGCGUCUGAUUAGCUAGUUGGUGAGGUAAUGGCUCACCAAGGCGACGAUCAGUAGGGGAUCUGAGAGGACUAACCCCCACACUGGUACUGAGACACGGACCAGACUCCUACGGGAGGCAGCAGUAAGGAAUAUUGGUCAAUGGAGGCAACUCUGAACCAGCCAUGCCGCGUGCAGGAUGACGGCCCUAUGGGUUGUAAACUGCUUUUGUACCAGAGAAAACCCCAGUACGUGUACUGGGUUGAUAGUAUGGUAAGAAUAAGCAUCGGCUAACUUCGUGCCAGCAGCCGCGGUAAGACGAAGGAUGCAAGCGUUAUCCGGAUUCAUUGGGUUUAAAGGGUGCGUAGGCGGACUUGUAAGUCAGUGGUGAAAUCUCUCAGCUUAACUGAGAAACUGCCAUUGAUACUGCGGGUCUAGAGUAUAGAUGACGUUGGCGGAAUAUGACAUGUAGUGGUGAAAUACUUAGAUAUGUCAUAGAACACCGAUUGCGAAGGCAGCUAACGAAACUAUAACUGACGCUGAGGCACGAAAGUGCGGGGAUCAAACAGGAUUAGAUACCCUGGUAGUCCGCACCGUAAACGAUGAUUACUCGUUGUUGGCGAUAUGACAGUCAGCGACCAAGCGAAAGCGAUAAGUAAUCCACCUGGGGAGUACGCCGGCAACGGUGAAACUCAAAGGAAUUGACGGGGCCCGCACAAGCGGAGGAGCAUGUGGUU
rnacentral:rRNA from 1 species